GAUGAAGAAGUAGCGAAAUGCGAUAAGUAAUGUGAAUUGCAGAAUUCAGUGAAUCAUCGAAUCUUUGAACGCACCUUGCGCUCCUUGGUAUUCCGAGGAGCAUGCCUGUUUGAGUGUCAUUAAUAUAUCAACCUUCUCUUUUUUGAGUUGUUUGGAUGUGGGGGUUUGCUGGCCUCUUAAAUGAUUCAGCUCCCCUGAAAUGCAUUAGCAGAACAACCUGUUCAUUAGCGUGAUAAUUAUCUAUGCUAUUGAAUGUGAGGGCAGUUCAGCUUUCUAACCGUCCUUGGACAAUUCAUCAUUAAUGUGACCUCAAAUCAGGUAGGACUACCCGCUGAACUUAAGCAUAUCAAUAAGCGGAGGA
rnacentral:misc_RNA from 1 species